rnacentral:rRNA from 1 species
UACGUAGGGUGCAAGCGUUGUCCGGAAUUAUUGGGCGUAAAGGGCUCGUAGGCGGUCCAUCACGUCGGGAGUGAAAAGCUGGGGCUUAACCCCAGUCCUGCUUCCGAUACGGGUGGACUAGAGGUAGGCAGGGGAGAACGGAAUUCCUGGUGUAGCGGUGAAAUGCGCAGAUAUCAGGAAGAACACCCGUGGCGAAGGCGGCUCUCUGGUACGUGACUGACGCUGAGACGCGAAAGCGUGGGGAGCGAACAGG